GCAGAUGUAGCUCAGUGGUAGAGUGCUUGCUUAGCAUGUGCAAGACCCUGGGUUUAAUCCCCAGUACAGCA
rnacentral:tRNA from 1 species